rnacentral:rRNA from 2 species
ACAAUGCGGGAAACCGCGAUAAGGGAACCCCGAGUGCCAGCAUCAAAUGUUGGCUGUCCAGAUGAUUAAAAAUCAUUUGUUAGCAAGGGCCGGGCAAGACCGGUGCCAGCCGCCGCGGUAACACCGGCGGCCCGAGUGGUAGCCGUUUUUAUUGGGUCUAAAGGGUCCGUAGCCGGUUCGAUAAGUCCUCUGGGAAAUCUGGUUGCUUAACAAUCAGACUGCCAAGGGAUACUGUCGAACUUGAGACCGGGAGAGGUAAGAGGUACUUCAGGGGUAGGAGUGAAAUCUUGUAAUCCCUGGGGGACCAUCUGUGGCGAAGGCGUCUUACCAGAACGGGUCUGACGGUGAGGGACGAAAGCUGGGGGCGCAAACCGGAUUAGAUACCCGGGUAGUCCCAGCCGUAAACGAUGCUCGCUAUGUGUCAGGUACGGUGUGACCGUAUCUGGUGCCGUAGGGAAGCCGUGAAGCGAGCCACCUGGAAGUACGCCGCAAGGC